rnacentral:rRNA from 1 species
AUGGAGGCGCUUUCUGAGAUUCGUGCCGAGGAGACUCGCUUACGUGGUGCUGGUUUGCUGGAGGUUCCUUCUGUGCUCGCUACUCGGGCUUCUUCCAUGCCACCUGCUGCACCGACCCCUUCUCGCUCGAGUGCUCCGCCACUUUUGCCCACUCCUUCUGGAGGCUCAGGUCGCCGUCCACAUUGCGGCUACUGCAACAAUGAUGGUCAUAUUGAGUCCCAGUGCUACACGAAGAGGAAACACCUGCGCAAGGCGCGAUCAUCAUCUUCAGGGACUUCGUCAUCUACCUCGACAGCUUCCGCCAUUGCUUUGACUGAGCAGGAUAUUCUGAGACUUAAGCGUCUGCUCACGGCUUCAGGUUCUUCCUCGACGGGUACUGCUGGUUCUGUGACUGAUGCUUCCCGCACUGAGCAACCGCCCUCUACACAGUCAGGUACAUCCCCAUGGGUUCUGGACUCUGGAGCUUCUUUUCAUAUGUCUUCUCAUUCUUCCGCUUUGUCCUCUCUUCGAUUGCUGGAUUCUCCUGUUCAUGUCUUCACUGCUGAUGGUACUCCACUUUCUGUUGCUAGUAGAGGCAAUCUUUCCACUCCUUCUUAUUCUGUUCCUGAUGUUGCUCAUGUUCCUCGACUUACCAUGAAUUUGUUUUCUGCUGGUCAACUUACUGAUUCUGGUUGUCGCGUCAUCCUUGACGUUGAUUCUUGUUCUAUCCAGGACCGUCGCACACACACUCUGGUUGGGGCUGGCCCUCGCCGCCGUGAUUCUCAGGGUCUUUGGGAGUUGGACUGGCUUCAUGUUCCUUCCGCUGGCACCACCAUCGCGAGUUCCUCCGCUUCAGUCGCCUCCGUUACUGGUUCCUUCCAGCAGUGGCAUCAUCGUCUUGGUCAUCUGUGUGGUUCUCGUUUGUCAUCUUUAGUUCGUCGAGGUCUUCUGGGGUCUAUCUCAGGAGAUGUCUCGUUAGAGUGUCAGGGUUGUCGUCUUGGCAAGCAGAUUCAGUUACCAUAUUCACAUAGUGAGUCAGUGUCUAAGCGUCCUUUCGAUUUAGUCCAUUCUGAUGUAUGGGGUCCGGCUCCUUUCGCUUCGAAAGGUGGUCAUAAAUAUUAUAUUAUUUUCAUAGAUGAUUUCUCUCGUUACACAUGGCUUUAUUUCAUGACUUCUCGUAGUGAGGUGUUGUCUAUUUAUAAGCGUUUUGCUGCCAUGGUUCAUACUCAGUUCUCUUCACCCAUUCGUGUUUUUCGUGCUGACUCCGCUGGCGAGUAUAUCUCUAAGAUGUUGCAUGGUGUUCUUGCUGAGCAAGGAAAUCUCUCUCAAUUCUCUUGUCCUGGUGCUCAUGCUCAGAAUGGUGUGGCUGAGCGAAAGCAUCGACAUCUUCUUGAGACAGCUCGUGCAUUGAUGAUUGCUACAUCUCUCCCGCCUCAUUUUUGGGCUGAGGCCGUCUCCACCUCCACCUAUCUUAUCAACAUACAACCUUCCGCUGCUCUACAGGGUGGUGUUCCUUUCGAGCGUAUUUUUGAUCGUUCUCCCGAUUAUUCGAUGCUUCACUUGUUUGGUUGUGUUUGCUAUGUUCUACUUGCCCCUCGCGAACGCACCAAACUGACCGCUCAGUCUGUUGAGUGUGUCUUCUUAGGCUACAGUGAUGAGCAUAAGGGUUAUCGCUGUUGGGAUCCUAUCGGUCGUCGGAUGCGUAUCUCUCGAGAUGUGACUUUUGACGAGUCUCGCCCCUUCUACCCACGCCCAUCCUCCUCGACUGUUUCAGUAGAGGAUAUCUCUUUCCUCACUUUUCCUGACUCACUUAUUACCCCUGUCGAGCCUGUGCCUAUUCGUUCCACUCCCUCUGCUUCUCCACCUCUAGUCGAUUUGCAGCCACCAUCUUCCCCGGUCUCCUCGCCUAGCAUGUCAUCGGAUUCUACACCUUCAUCUCCGGUGACUUCUUCAUCACCAAUCCCCGAUUCUACCUUGGUGAUUCCUCCUCUUGUUCCAUCUUUUCCUCAGCAUUACACUCGUCGUUCACGACCUGUGGAUGCCUCUGUGGAUGAGUCAUCAUCUUCCUCUCAGCCUACUUAUGGCUUGCGCUCUCGUCCUCGUCCGCCUGUUGAUCGCUUUGGCUUUCCCACCGUUGGUGCUGCUGUUCUUGAGCCGACUUCUUACCGUCAGGCUGUUGUUCAUCCUGAAUGGCAGUUUGCGAUGGCAGAGGAGAUUGCUGCUCUUGAACGCAUUGGUACCUGGGAUAUUGUUUCUCUUCCUCCCGACGUCCGUCCCAUCACUUGUAAGUGGGUCUACAAGGUUAAGACUCGCUCUGAUGGUUCUCUUGAGCAUCACAAAGCUCGUCUUGUGGCUCGUGGUUUUCAGCAGGAGCAUGGUCGUGAUUAUGAUGAGACUUUUGCUCCUGUGGCGCAUAUGACCACUAUUCGUACACUUCUUGCCGUUGCCUCUGCACGCCACUGGUCUAUAUCUCAGCUUGAUGUUAAGAAUGCCUUUCUUAAUGGUGAGCUGCGUGAGGAGGUGUACAUGCAGCCACCACCUGGGUAUUAUGUUCCUGAUGGCAUGGUAUGUCGUCUUCGUCGCUCUCUCUAUGGCCUUAAGCAAGCCCCCCGCGCCUGGUUUGAGCGUUUUGCCUCUGUGGUCACUUCUGCUGGUUUUUCAGCAAGUGCUCAUGAUCCAGCAUUGUUUAUUCACCUCUCUCCUCGUGGUCGGACUCUUCUUCUUCUCUAUGUUGAUGACAUGAUCAUCACUGGGGAUGACCCCGAGUAUAUUGCCUUUGUAAAGGCCCGUCUUAGUGAGCAGUUUCUUAUGUCUGAUCUUGGACCUCUUCGCUACUUUCUUGGGAUUGAAGUCUCUUCUACCUCUGAUGGCUUUUUUAUAUCCCAGGAAAAGUAUAUCCAGGAUCUUCUUGCUCGUGCUGCUCUUACUGACGAGCGCAUUGUUGAGACUCCUAUGGAGCUCAAUGUUCACCUCCGUGCUACUGAUGGUGAUCCUCUCCCUGACCCGACGCGUUAUCGUCAUCUUGUUGGCAGUCUUGUCUAUCUAGCUGUCACUCGUCCGGACAUCUCUUAUCUGGUCCAUAUUCUGAGCCAGUUUGUCUCUGCUCCCACAUCGGUUCACUAUGGUCAUCUCCUUCGUGUUCUUUGA